AGCGAACGCUGGCGGCAGGCUUAACACAUGCAAGUCGAGCGGGCAUAGCAAUAUGUCAGCGGCAGACGGGUGAGUAACGCGUGGGAACGUACCUUUUGGUUCGGAACAACACAGGGAAACUUGUGCUAAUACCGGAUAAGCCCUUACGGGGAAAGAUUUAUCGCCGAAAGAUCGGCCCGCGUCUGAUUAGCUAGUUGGUGAGGUAAUGGCUCACCAAGGCGACGAUCAGUAGCUGGUCUGAGAGGAUGAUCAGCCACAUUGGGACUGAGACACGGCCCAAACUCCUACGGGAGGCAGCAGUGGGGAAUAUUGGACAAUGGGCGCAAGCCUGAUCCAGCCAUGCCGCGUGAGUGAUGAAGGCCCUAGGGUUGUAAAGCUCUUUUGUGCGGGAAGAUAAUGACGGUACCGGAGGAAUAAGCCCCGGCUAACUUCGUGCCAGCCGCCGCAGUAA
rnacentral:rRNA from 1 species